CCCAGACCUAGCCUAGCGGGCAAUGCCUGUCAUUCAAUUAGCGAUAGCCCACACAGGGCAACAGACAGGCAACAACGGUCUGUCGCUAACCGCCAACAAAGCAACCCACACUUCAGGUUAUCUCCUCACCUACAAUCGUCCACAUGGACCACAAGAUCGAGGCGGUGCUGAAGAUCCUGGUGGACCAGUACAAACCCGACGAGGAGCUGAUAGAGAAGCCGCCGCCCCCUCCGCCCCGAGCUCCGUGCGUCCCCCGGGUCUCCAUCACCAGGGGGUCGAGCUCCGCCUUCAGUUUCGAUGGCGUGCAGUGACGUCACAGCGGGACAGAGCGGCGCCGGCAGGGUCCUCCACCAGUGCCUGGCGGGGUCGGGCAUAAGACAUCCUGCCUGGGCAGCGGGACCAUCACUCCGAUGGAGGGACCACUCCACCUACCUCAUUUAGAAGACACGCUGGACCCAGUGCAGUUUCCACAACAGACAAACCCAAUCUCUGUUGCUGUACUGCCCACUCACCCCACGGGAACACCUACGGUGUGUGAGAACGAGGUUCAUCGACCAACGCCCUGCGUUCAAUACCACAGCCCCCC
ensembl:lncRNA